rnacentral:rRNA from 1 species
UACGUAGGGGGCGAGCGUUGUCCGGAAUUAUUGGGCGUAAAGGGUGCGUAGGCGGCCUUGUAAGUCAGAUGUGAAAGAUCACGGCUUAACUGUGGUAAGCAUUUGAAACUGCAGGGCUUGAGUACAGGAGAGGAGAGUGGAAUUCCUAGUGUAGCGGUGAAAUGCGUAGAUAUUAGGAGGAAUACCAGUGGCGAAGGCGACUCUCUGGACUGUAACUGACGCUGAGGCACGAAAGCGUGGGGAGCAAACAGG